ACGGGAGGCAGCAGUGGGGAAUAUUGGACAAUGGGCGAAAGCCUGAUCCAGCGACGCCGCGUGAGUGAAGAAGUAUUUCGGUAUGUAAAGCUCUAUCAGCAGGGAAGAUAAUGACGGUACCUGACUAAGAAGCCCCGGCUACCUACGUGCCAGCAGCCGCGGUAAUACGAAGGGGACAAGCGUUAUCCGGAUUUACUGGGUGUAAAGGGAGCGUAGACGGCAUGGCAAGUCUGAUGUGAAAACCCAGGGCUCAACCCUGGGACUGCAUUGGAAACUGUCAGGCUAGAGUGCAGGAGAGGUAAGUGGAAUUCCUAGUGUAGCGGUGAAAUGCGUAGAUAUUAGGAGGAACACCAGUGGCGAAGGCGGCUUACUGGACUGUAACUGACGUUGAGGCUCGAAAGCGUGGGGAGCAAACAGGAUUAGAUACCCUGGUA
rnacentral:rRNA from 1 species